UCUAAGCACUUCCUGUGGACGUAAUCACCUAUGCCUUACAGCCCAGAUGGGAGUGUAUCAGAUUCCUUAUUGCGGCUGUAACAGAUAACCGUAAAUUCAGUGGCUUAAAACAACACACACUCCUCUGUCAGCUCUGCAGGUUGGACAGGGCUGAAAUCACGGUGCAGGCAGGGCCCCACUCCUGCUGGAGGCUCCAGGGGAGGGUCCUUCCUGCCUCUUCCAGCUUCUGGGGCUCCAGCUGUUUCCUGGCUUGUGGCCACAACACCCCAAUCCUGCCUGCUCCUCGGCCGUGUUCAGAUCUCCCUGUGCCUCUGUCUAGUGAGGACACUUGGGUAAUCCCAGAUAAUCUUCCUGUUUCAGGAUCCUUAACCCCAUCACGUCUGCAGAGCCCCUUCUGCCAAGGAUGGCGAUGCAUUCACAGGUUGGGAGGAUCAGAGCGCAGAAGUCUUGGGGACUGUCACUCAGCUGGUCACAGGGAGACACUGCUGUUCUGUCUGGAGGGCACAGUGCUUGGAGGGGAGGCCAGAGCCCAGGGACUCCAUAGGGCUGGCCCAGGGUGGUGAUAUUUGCUGCAGCUGACCCUCGGGCUGGCCUCUGUGUGGCCGAGGCCCCUGGUGCCAACACUCCCUAUUGUGAGCAUGUGCCUAGGGGGUUCCAGAGCACGCCUGCAUUCACUGGUUUUGUCCUGCUCUGCACGCUUGGGUGGGAACGGGCCACAGCUCAGCUCUGACUCCCGGGGUCAUGGGCGUGUUCACUGCACAGCCAUCUCCACCCCAGCACCCCCAGAGGGAGGGGUGUGGGGUUCCAGGGUGGGAAGGAAGUUACGGUCCUCCCAGGGUGCCUGGCACCCCUUAUAGGUACUGGGCUUCCUGAUGAACGCUAGCCUGACUGAGAUGUGGGGUGGGCUGUCCACAACCUGCUGUUCGUCUUUCCCACGGCAGAAGCAUCGUUACCCUGCUGCAGACUCACUGGAACAAAAAUGUAAUUGCUCUGCCUUUAAGAAGCUGCUGCUGGGUUGGGAGAAAUGCAGGCUCAGCGGCUGCCAAUGAAGGACUUAAUUAAGCAGAAUAGGCAAGGAUGUGGCGAGAGGGUGGCCAUCUGCAAACCAGGAAGAUGUCCCUCACAAGGAACUGAAUCUUUUGGCACCUGGAUCUCAGAUGUCCAGCCUCCAGGAUGGUGAGAAAUAAAUGUCUGCGGUUUAAGCUGCAGCCUAUGGCACUUCGUUAUGGCCAGCUGUGCUGACGAAGACGUUCGUGGGGGCAGAUGAGGAAACAGGUGGGAGCCGACAGGGAACGUGCCCAAGGGCACAACAGGAAUUCAAACCCAGCCCGCCUGAAUCCAGAGACCUCGCUCCAGCCCGGGCCAGUCUGGAGUCCAACAGCCCCCCACAACCCAGGCUGGGGGCCAUCCCGGAGCGGGGAGACUCUGCCGGCGCACCUGGGCGAGGAGGCUUUAAGAGUUAGGAGGGAGAAGGCUGGCGACCAUUGCUAAGAAUCUUUCCCGGCGAAAUACCCGUAAAAUAGCCAAGAAACCCAUGAUUUACAGCUUAAUGGCAGAAUGCGAUAGAGCGGGACUGACAGGUCUCACCCGUGGGAGGCACGCUUGUCCCCGAAGGAGUGUGCUCAGCCCUGCUGAGCCUGCAGGUCCCUGCCGGGAGGGGUGGGCUUUGAGGGGUGGGACCCCACGGCCAAGGCCACCUGCUGCCCCUUCCUCCAACGAAGAACAGCUUCUGAGCUCUGGCUUCUCUGAGCUGAAACAGACUUCCUGCUUCUGUCCACACCCUGCUGGGAGCUUCCAGAGUGUAGCCAGGUCCCUCCAAGGAGGGGCCCUGGCUCCCCCGCCGGGCUCUGGCCCCCUCUGCCAGGCUGUCCCCAAGGUGCGGCAGGGUGAGAGGAGGUCGCUGGGGCUGGCGGUGUCAUGUUGGGGCUGGGGCUGUUUAUGUCAGCUGGCCGACGGCGCCUUCCCACACCACUCGGACCCAGUGGGACAUCCAGUGGGCAUCU